rnacentral:rRNA from 1 species
UGGGGAAUUUUGGACAAUGGGGGAAACCCUGAUCCAGCCAUCCCGCGUGUGCGAUGAAGGCCUUCGGGUUGUAAAGCACUUUUGGCAGGAAAGAAACGUCAUGGGUUAAUACCCCGUGAAACUGACGGUACCUGCAGAAUAAGCACCGGCUAACUACGUGCCAGCAGCCGCGGUAAUACGUAGGGUGCAAGCGUUAAUCGGAAUUACUGGGCGUAAAGCGUGCGCAGUCGGUUCGGAAAGAAAGAUGUGAAAUCCCAGAGCUCAACGUUGGAACUUCAUUUUGAACUACCGGGCUAGAGUGUGUCAGAGGGAGGUGGAAUUCCGCGUGUAGCAGUGAAAUGCGUAGAUAUGCGGAGGAACACCGAUGGCGAAGGCAGCAUCCUGGGAUAACACUGAAGCUCAUGCACGAAAGCGUGGGGAGCAAACAGG